rnacentral:rRNA from 1 species
CCUACGGGAGGCAGCAGUAGGGAAUAUUGCUCAAUGGGGGAAACCCUGAAGCAGCAACGCCGCGUGGAGGAUGAAGGUUUUCGGAUUGUAAACUCCUUUUGUUAGAGAAGAUAAUGACGGUAUCUAACGAAUAAGCACCGGCUAACUCCGUGCCAGCAGCCGCGGUAAUACGGAGGGUGCAAGCGUUACUCGGAAUCACUGGGCGUAAAGAGCGCGGAGGCGGGAUAGCAAGUCAGAUGUGAAAUCCUAGGGCUUAACCAUAGAACUGCAUUUGAAACUGUUAUUCUAGAGUAUGGGAGAGGUAGGUGGAAUUCUGGGUGUAGGGGUAAAAUCCGUAGAGAUCAAGAGGAAUACUCAUUGCGAAGGCGACCUGCUAGAACAUAACUGACGCUGAUGCGCGAAAGCGUGGGGAGCAAACAGGAUUAGAUACCCGGGUAGUC